rnacentral:rRNA from 1 species
GCUUUCUCUCAGUCUGACCUCGAUGAUGCAAACAACUUCACCAACAUCUCCUCCCACAACAAGCUUGUGAGAUAUAGAGAUGAGGGGAAGGCGAGGAAAGGGGAGGACUUUAACCCGAGUCAGGGUCCCAUUGAUCCAGAGCUGGUGAUGAUAUCUGGUGGCGGGAGGUCCCAUGGCUCCAUAGCCAUUGGAGAUGGACUUAUCCAUUGUCCUAGCACUCUCCCAGAGAUCAAGGAGCGCCAGUCAAGCUUCGCUCCUGAGAUAAGGCCUCGUGAACGGCCAGUGCAACUCGCCAUCAAG